GCCUCACGCCGUGGCGCGUGCCUGUAGUCCCAGCUACUUGGGAGGCUGAGAGGUGAGGAUCGCUUGAGCCCAGGAGUCUGGCCUGUAGUGCGAUAUGCCGAUCGGGUGUCCGCACUAAGUUCGACAUCAAUAUGGUGAUCUACUGGGAGCGGGGGACUACAAGGUUGCCUAAGGAGGGGUGAACUGGCCCAGGUCAGAAAUGGAGCAGGUCAAAACUCCCGUGCUGAUCACUAGUGGAAUGGCGCCUGUGAAUAGCCACUGCACUCCAGCUUGGGCAACAUAGCCAGACGCUGUCUCU
rnacentral:SRP_RNA from 1 species